UGUCUGGUACAAGGAACAAGGGUCUGAUCUCGAGCUCCAUCUGCCUCAUCUGACUCUGGUCCUCCAGGACAGCCUACAGGGACACAGAACGCAGCAGGAGUCCAUACGGUGUGAUGGAUUUGGACCCAACUCACAUGCUCACAGAGAGCAACACCCAGGCUGAUGAGAUCAGCCGCCCCCGGCCCAGCAGCAUUGUUUCCUCAACAUCAGUCCUGUGUUCUACCUGUGCUCCUUUGCCGCUGCUCUGCACAACCUGUAUGAUUAUUUACUUGGUGUUUUCUCAUGAAACUGACUUUAAGGCAACUA